GACGAACGCUGGCGGCGUGCUUAACACAUGCAAGUCGAACGGUGAAGCGCCUUCCUUUUUGGUGGGUGUGGAUGAGUGGCGAACGGGUGAGUAACACGUGAGUAACCUGCCCCCUUCUUCUGGAUAACCGCAUGAAAGUGUGGCUAAUACGGGAUAUUCUGGGUCUGUCGCAUGAUGGGUCUGGGAAAGAUAUUGUUUCGGUGGGGGAUGGGCUCGCGGCCUAUCAGCUUGUUGGUGGGGUGAUGGCCUACCAAGGCGGUGACGGGUAGCCGGCCUGAGAGGGUGGACGGCCACACUGGGACUGAGACACGGCCAAGACUCCUACGGGAGGCAGCAGUGGGGAAUAUUGCACAAUGGGCGCAAGCCUGAUGCAGCGACGCCGCGUGAGGGAUGGAGGCCUUCGGGUUGUGAACCUCUUUCGCCAGUGAAGCAGGCCUGCCUCGUUUGUGGGUGGGUUGACGGUAGCUGGAUAAGAAGCGCCGGCUAACUACGUG
rnacentral:rRNA from 1 species